rnacentral:tRNA from 1 species
GAGGGUAUAGCUCAAGUGGUAGAGCACAUGCUUAGCAUGCAGGAGGUCCUGGGUUCAAUCCCCUGUGCCUCCU